AUGGCUCAGAUUGAACGCUGGCGGCAGGCCUAACACAUGCAAGUCGAGCGGUAGCACAGAGAGCUUGCUCUCGGGUGACGAGCGGCGGACGGGUGAGUAAUGUCUGGGAAACUGCCUGAUGGAGGGGGAUAACUACUGGAAACGGUAGCUAAUACCGCAUAACGUCGCAAGACCAAAGUGGGGGACCUUCGGGCCUCAUGCCAUCAGAUGUGCCCAGAUGGGAUUAGCUAGUAGGUGGGGUAACGGCUCACCUAGGCGACGAUCCCUAGCUGGUCUGAGAGGAUGACCAGCCACACUGGAACUGAGACACGGUCCAGACUCCUACGGGAGGCAGCAGUGGGGAAUAUUGCACAAUGGGCGCAAGCCUGAUGCAGCCAUGCCGCGUGUGUGAAGAAGGCCUUCGGGUUGUAAAGCACUUUCAGCGGGGAGGAAGGCGGUGAGGUUAAUAACCUUGUCGAUUGACGUUACCCGCAGAAGAAGCACCGGCUAACUCCGUGCCAGCAGCCGCGGUAAUACGGAGGGUGCAAGCGUUAAUCGGAAUUACUGGGCGUAAAGCGCACGCAGGCGGUCUGUCAAGUCGGAUGUGAAAUCCCCGGGCUCAACCUGGGAACUGCAUUCGAAACUGGCAGGCUAGAGUCUUGUAGAGGGGGGUAGAAUUCCAGGUGUAGCGGUGAAAUGCGUAGAGAUCUGGAGGAAUACCGGUGGCGAAGGCGGCCCCCUGGACAAAGACUGACGCUCAGGUGCGAAAGCGUGGGGAGCAAACAGGAUUAGAUACCCUGGUAGUCCACGCUGUAAACGAUGUCGAUUUGGAGGUUGUGCCCUUGAGGCGUGGCUUCCGGAGCUAACGCGUUAAAUCGACCGCCUGGGGAGUACGGCCGCAAGGUUAAAACUCAAAUGAAUUGACGGGGGCCCGCACAAGCGGUGGAGCAUGUGGUUUAAUUCGAUGCAACGCGAAGAACCUUACCUGGUCUUGACAUCCACAGAACUUUCCAGAGAUGGAUUGGUGCCUUCGGGAACUGUGAGACAGGUGCUGCAUGGCUGUCGUCAGCUCGUGUUGUGAAAUGUUGGGUUAAGUCCCGCAACGAGCGCAACCCUUAUCCUUUGUUGCCAGCGGUCCGGCCGGGAACUCAAAGGAGACUGCCAGUGAUAAACUGGAGGAAGGUGGGGAUGACGUCAAGUCAUCAUGGCCCUUACGACCAGGGCUACACACGUGCUACAAUGGCAUAUACAAAGAGAAGCGACCUCGCGAGAGCAAGCGGACCUCAUAAAGUAUGUCGUAGUCCGGAUUGGAGUCUGCAACUCGACUCCAUGAAGUCGGAAUCGCUAGUAAUCGUAGAUCAGAAUGCUACGGUGAAUACGUUCCCGGGCCUUGUACACACCGCCCGUCACACCAUGGGAGUGGGUUGCAAAAGAAGUAGGUAG
rnacentral:rRNA from 1 species